rnacentral:rRNA from 1 species
CCUACGGGUGUCAGCAGUGAGGAAUAUUGGUCAAUGGCCGUAAGGCUGAACCAGCCAAGUAGCGUGAGGGAAGACUGCCCUAUGGGUUGUAAACCUCUUUUAUGCGGGGAUAAAGCUGUCCACGUGUGGCUUUUUGCAUGUACCGCAUGAAUAAGGACUGGCUAAUUCCGUGCCAGCAGCCGCGGUAAUACGGGAGGUCCGGGCGGUAUCCGGAUUUAUUGGGUUUAAAGGUAGCGUAGGCCGGUCUUUAAGCGUGCCGUGAAAUUUUGUGGCUCAACCAUGGGAGUGCGGCGCGAACUGGAGACCUUGAGUGCGCGAAAGGCAGGCGGAAUUCGUGGUGUAGCGGUGAAAUGCUUAGAUAUCACGAAGAACCCCGAUUGCGAAGGCAGCCUGCCGCAGCGUGACUGACGCUGAAGCUCGAAAGCGCGGGUAUCGAACAGGAUUAGAUACCCGUGUAGUC